rnacentral:pre_miRNA from 1 species
CUGGAGCCCAGGUUGACAAUGCAUUACUAAAUAGCUUUGGCACCAUGGGACUCUAAU